AUGUUUUCUGUUUUAUGAGCAAAGAAACCUACCAAUAUUUUAAGCGUCCUACCAUCCUACCAACUAGAAAAAAAAAAAAUUACCAAUUUUGGUAGAAAAAGC